UGAUGAUCUGUCAUUUGUAUGUUUGCCUAGCUGUGCUUAGAACAAGGAAUAGAAACAUUGCUAAGCUGGUGUAGGGAACAAGGACAAUUACCGAUUUCCUCCCUUGGUGGAAACCUGUUCAAAAGUCAAGCAAG